GUUUAAAUAGUUUAAAUAAAAAACAUUGGUCUUGUAAACCAAAAAUAAUUAAUCAAUUUUUAAACU
rnacentral:tRNA from 1 species